UUACAGUAUUUGCAUAUAACGAAAAUCAGAUACUUGAAAUAGGGAAAAAAAUUUCAAGCAAAUACGUAGAUUAUAUGGAAGGAAAAGUCGUUAAAAACAGACAAGAAUUUAAUUUCUGUGCAGAAAAAAUGGAAUCGUACAUGCAAUUUUUUAAAGAAAUUUUAGUGUAACAAUUUUAUUAUAAAUAUAAAUAUGUUACCUAUAUAUAUAUAUUAUAAUACGAACUCUACCGUAUGUACGACUAACUGCUGACCUAUACAUAUUAGAAAACACACAUAAUUGUAACGGCUAUGACAACACACACAAUGUAUUAGUAAGUCAGUUCAUUGUGCACCUUUCAACUUCAUCAAACAAUACAAUUACUGGACUCCGUAGGACUACGAUACAGUCAUAUAGUAUAAUAGAACUCUAGUUGAUAUAUUAGUGAGUAUUAGUAUUUGUAAUUGAUUAAUAAAUAAUAAACCAUAAUUAUAACUGAAAUA